rnacentral:rRNA from 1 species
UACGUAGGGUGCGAGCGUUGUCCGGAAUUAUUGGGCGUAAAGAGCUUGUAGGCGGUUUGUCGCGUCUGCUGUGAAAAUCCGGGGCUCAACCCCGGACUUACAGUGGGUACGGGCAGACUAGAGUGUGGUAGGGGAGACUGGAAUUCCUGGUGUAGCGGUGAAAUGCGCAGAUAUCAGGAGGAACACCGAUGGCGAAGGCAGGUCUCUGGGCCACUACUGACGCUGAGAAGCGAAAGCAUGGGGGAGCGAACAGGAUUAGAUACCCCCGGUAGU